GAGUUUGAUCCUGGCUCAUGACGAACGCUGGCGGCGUGCCUAAUACAUGCAAGUAGAACGCUGAAGAGAGGAGCUUGCUCUUCUUGGAUGAGUUGCGAACGGGUGAGUAACGCGUAGGUAACCUGCCUUGUAGCGGGGGAUAACUAUUGGAAACGAUAGCUAAUACCGCAUAACAAUGGAUGACCCAUGUCAUUUAUUUGAAAGGGGCAAAUGCUCCACUACAAGAUGGACCUGCGUUGUAUUAGCUAGUAGGCGAGGUAACGGCUCACCUAGGCGACGAUACAUAGCCGACCUGAGAGGGUGAUCGGCCACACUGGGACUGAGACACGGCCCAGACUCCUACGGGAGGCAGCAGUAGGGAAUCUUCGGCAAUGGGGGCAACCCUGACCGAGCAACGCCGCGUGAGUGAAGAAGGUUUUCGGAUCGUAAAGCUCUGUUGUAAGUCAAGAACGAGUGUGAGAGUGGAAAGUUCACACUGUGACGGUAGCUUACCAGAAAGGGACGGCUAACUACGUGCCAGCAGCCGCGGUAAUACGUAGGUCCCGAGCGUUGUCCGGAUUUAUUGGGCGUAAAGCGAGCGCAGGCGGUUUGAUAAGUCUGAAGUUAAAGGCUGUGGCUCAACCAUAGUUCGCUUUGGAAACUGUCAAACUUGAGUGCAGAAGGGGAGAGUGGAAUUCCAUGUGUAGCGGUGAAAUGCGUAGAUAUAUGGAGGAACACCGGUGGCGAAAGCGGCUCUCUGGUCUGUAACUGACGCUGAGGCUCGAAAGCGUGGGGAGCGAACAGGAUUAGAUACCCUGGUAGUCCACGCCGUAAACGAUGAGUGCUAGGUGUUGGAUCCUUUCCGGGAUUCAGUGCCGCAGCUAACGCAUUAAGCACUCCGCCUGGGGAGUACGACCGCAAGGUUGAAACUCAAAGGAAUUGACGGGGGCCCGCACAAGCGGUGGAGCAUGUGGUUUAAUUCGAAGCAACGCGAAGAACCUUACCAGGUCUUGACAUCCCGAUGCUAUUUCUAGAGAUAGAAAGUUACUUCGGUACAUCGGUGACAGGUGGUGCAUGGUUGUCGUCAGCUCGUGUCGUGAGAUGUUGGGUUAAGUCCCGCAACGAGCGCAACCCCUAUUGUUAGUUGCCAUCAUUCAGUUGGGCACUCUAGCGAGACUGCCGGUAAUAAACCGGAGGAAGGUGGGGAUGACGUCAAAUCAUCAUGCCCCUUAUGACCUGGGCUACACACGUGCUACAAUGGUUGGUACAACGAGUUGCGAGUCGGUGACGGCAAGCUAAUCUCUUAAAGCCAAUCUCAGUUCGGAUUGUAGGCUGCAACUCGCCUACAUGAAGUCGGAAUCGCUAGUAAUCGCGGAUCAGCACGCCGCGGUGAAUACGUUCCCGGGCCUUGUACACACCGCCCGUCACACCACGAGAGUUUGUAACACCCGAAGUCGGUGAGGUAACCUUUUGGAGCCAGCCGCCUAAGGUGGGAUAGAUGAUUGGGGUGAAGUCGUAACAAGGUGCCGUAAGGGCG
rnacentral:rRNA from 1 species